rnacentral:rRNA from 1 species
GACGUAGGUCGCGAACGUUAUCCGGAAUUAUUGGGCGUAAAGGGUGCGUAGAUGACCUGAUAAGUUAGCAGUGGUAAAUCGGGGCUCAACCUCGUGGAAACUGGUAAUACUGUCAGGAUUGAGUACAGGAGAGGUUAACGGAACUCCAUGUGGAGCGGUAAAAUGUGUUGAUAUCGGAAGGAACGCCAGUGGCGAAAGCGACACACUGGGUCUCAACUGACGCUGAGGCACGAAAGCCAGGGGAGCAAACGGG